rnacentral:rRNA from 1 species
GUGGGGAAUCUUAGACAAUGGGGGAAACCCUGAUCUAGCCAUGCCGCGUGAGCGAUGAAGGCCUUAGGGUUGUAAAGCUCUUUCAGCUGGGAAGAUAAUGACGGUACCAGCAGAAGAAGCCCCGGCUAACUCCGUGCCAGCAGCCGCGGUAAUACGGAGGGGGCUAGCGUUGUUCGGAAUUACUGGGCGUAAAGCGCGCGUAGGCGGACCAGAAAGUUGGAGGUGAAAUCCCAGGGCUCAACCUUGGAACUGCCUUCAAAACUGCUGGUCUGGAGUUCGAGAGAGGUGAGUGGAAUUCCGAGUGUAGAGGUGAAAUUCGUAGAUAUUCGGAGGAACACCAGUGGCGAAGGCGGCUCACUGGCUCGAUACUGACGCUGAGGUGCGAAAGCGUGGGGAGCAAACAGGAUUAGAUACCCCUGUAGUCC